GACAGAGGGUGCAAACGUUGUUCGGAAUCACUGGGCGUAAAGGGCGUGUAGGCGGGUAGGCAAGUCGGGCGUGAAAUCCCUGAGCUCAACUCAGGAACUGCACUCGAAACUGCUUAUCUUGAGUGCCGGAGAGGAAAGCGGAAUACCUGGUGUAGAGGUGAAAUUCGUAGAUAUCAGGUGGAACACCAGUGGCGAAGGCGGCUUUACUGGACGGUAACUGACGCUGAGACGCGAAAGCGUGGGGAGCAAACAGG
rnacentral:rRNA from 1 species